rnacentral:rRNA from 1 species
CACGUAGGGUGCGAGCGUUGUCCGGAUUUAUUGGGCGUAAAGAGCGUGUAGGCGGCCAGGUAGGUCUGCUGUGAAAACUCGAGGCUUAACCUCGAGCUGUCGGCGGAAACCAUCUGGCUAGAGUCCGGAAGAGGAGAAUGGAAUUCCCGGUGUAGCGGUGAAAUGCGCAGAUAUCGGGAAGAACACCCGUGGCGAAGGCGGUUCUCUGGGACGGUACUGACGCUGAGACGCGAAAGCGUGGGGAGCGAACAGG